UUGAAAGACUUGCAAUAGAUCUCCAGUCAGAACAAAUGAUCCGUGACGAACUGAGUCCGUCCGUUUACAAACCAAAUUUCACAUCACACUAUUUGUUUUUUUAUCUAUAUGACCGAACUUGGUGUCUCCCAGCUCCCAUAUCAGGAGGGCCAAAGAUCGCACAACGCCCAGCCAUCCCGUCUGCCCACGCGCAUCUCCUCCUUCAUUCCGUGAUCGAUCUCGCACUCGCAGCUCUUCCGUGAUCAACGCCACAACUCCUCCACCUCAGCCCGCGCCUCCUUCAGCCCGUGAUCCGGCGAUCCCGCACCGCGCCCCCCUCUUUCGGAACCGAGAGUCCCAGCAUCACGCGUCUGUGAAUGGCAUCUCCGGUGAUCCCGCAAUGUCCCAGCUUCAUUCCAUGGCAGCCUCCGUGUCCGGACAUCCCGCAACUAGCCAUGAAAUGCGCGGCAUUCAACCUCCAGCCCAUGAUCUAGCACGGAUUGACGCCCUCCGCCCCACCAAGCUGUGAUCGGACUCCCAGAAAUCGGAUCCCCCAAGCAUCCCGUCCACCCACUGCAUCUCCUCCCUUCCGAUUUCAAGCAUCCCAGCUCCUCCCAGCAUCACGCGACCAUGAAUGGUGUCCUCCCGAGAUCCCGCGUGCAUCAGCUCCCGGAAUCCAAGCCUCCCGUGAUGCCAGCAGCGGUCCCAGCAACGAUCCCGCAGUCAAGCCUCCGAGUCCGCCCCUUCCGAAAUCUCAAGCAUCCUCACUUGACCUAUAAAUGGGGGCCAUCGGAAGAAGAAGAGGAGGAGGCGGGGAGCUCUCCGGUGGGUCCAAGGCCGGUGGUCGGCGAGCCCAAAGAAAGGAGAAAGAAUAAACAGAGCAUUGCUCUGUUUCUCUUGGGAAGAAGAAAGAAAUAAAAAAAUGUUAUUUUAUGUUGAGGGAGA
rnacentral:lncRNA from 1 species